rnacentral:rRNA from 1 species
UACGUAGGGGGCAAGCGUUAUCCGGAUUUACUGGGUGUAAAGGGAGCGUAGACGGCUGUGCAAGUCUGGAGUGAAAUGCCGGGGCCCAACCCCGGAACUGCUCUGGAAACUGUAUGGCUGGAGUGCAGGAGAGGUAAGUGGAAUUCCUAGUGUAGCGGUGAAAUGCGUAGAUAUUAGGAGGAACACCAGUGGCGAAGGCGGCUUACUGGACUGUAACUGACGUUGAGGCUCGAAGGCGUGGGGAGCAA